rnacentral:rRNA from 1 species
AACGAACGCUGGCGGCAUGCCUAACACAUGCGAGUCGAACGAGACCUUCGGGUCUAGUGGCGCACGGGUGCGUAACGCGUGGGAACCUGCCCUUAGGUUCGGAAUAACUCCCCGAAAGGGGUGCUAAUACCGGAUAAUGGCUUCGGACCAAAGAUUUAUCGCCUUUGGAUGGGCCCGCGUUGGAUUAGAUAGUUGGUAGGGUAAAAGCCUACCAAGGCGACGAUCCAUAGCUGGGCUGUGAGGAUGAUCAGCCACACUGGGACUGAGACACGGCCCAGACUCCUACGGGAGGGAGCAGUGGGGGAUAUUGGACAAUGGACGGAAGCCUGAUCCAGCAAUGCCGCGUGAGUGAUGAAGGCCUUAGAGUUGUAAAGCUCUUUUACCCGGGAUGGUAAUGACAGUACCGGGGUAAUAAGCUCCGGCUAACUCCGUG